rnacentral:rRNA from 1 species
AACGAACGCUGGCGGCAUGCCUAACACAUGCAAGUCGAACGAGACCUUCGGGUCUAGUGGCGCACGGGUGCGUAACGCGUGGGAACCUGCCCUUAGGUUCGGAAUAACUCCCCGAAAGGGGUGCUAAUACCGGAUAAUGUCUUCGGACCAAAGAUUUAUCGCCUUUGGAUGGGCCCGCGUUGGAUUAGCUAGUUGGUAGGGUAAAAGCCUACCAAGGCGACGAUCCAUAGCUGGUCUGAGAGGAUGAUCAGCCACACUGGGACUGAGACACGGCCCAGACUCCUACGGGAGGCAGCAGUGGGGAAUAUUGGACAAGGGGCGAAAGCCUGAUCCAGCAAUGCCGCGUGAGUGAUGAAGGCCUUAGGGUUGUAAAGCUCUUUUACCCGGGAUGAUAAUGACAGUACCGGGAGAAUAAGCUCCGGCUAACUCCGCG